AUCCAGAUGACGAAUUCCAAAUAGAACGAAAUGCGCAUCAAUCUGGAU
rnacentral:hammerhead_ribozyme from 1 species